rnacentral:misc_RNA from 1 species
GAUGAAGAACGUAGCGAAAUGCGAUAAGUAAUGUGAAUUGCAGAAUUCAGUGAAUCAUCGAAUCUUUGAACGCACAUUGCGCCCGCCAGUAUUCUGGCGGGCAUGCCUGUUCGAGCGUCAUUUCAACCAUCAAGCCCCCGGCUUGUGUUGGGGACCUGCGGCUGCCGCAGGCCCUGAAAACCAGUGGCGGGCUCGCUAGUCACUCCGAGCGUAGUAAUACAUCUCGCUCAGGGCGUGCUGCGGGUUCCGGCCGUUAAAAAGCCUUAUUUACCCAAGGUUGACCUCGGAUCAGGUAGGGAUACCCGCUGAACUUAAGCAUAUCAAUAAGCGGAGGA